GGCUGAAGAGGCACACUGCACUGCCCCCAGAUUUGACUAAGUAUAUGGAACUAAUUUGUCCAGAAGAUCAUCUGAGAAGUGCUACUUCUCAACAACUCAAAUGUACACAUGAAAGAAAGCUGAAUUUCGGAAAGAAAAAAUGGCUUACCAGAAGCAUGGGUAACGGAAGCGUGGGUUUACCGGAAGCAUGGGUAACCAGGGAACCAGUCCCUUAACCUAAGCUUCCUGGCCGAUGAAGAAGAAUUUCCAUGCCCCCUUUUUCUCAUGAGUCCAUCUCUGUACCUGUUCCCAGAAAAAUUCCAAUUUGCCUGACGUCUUAAAACUUCGACAACAUUGUAAUGAAGAAUACCGCCUCGAUCCUUUGAUUGAGAAUGUACAGAUGUGAAGCCACCAUGAAGACCAGAAAAGGGUGUCAAGUACCCUGGAACUGGAGUAGAGACCUGUGUGGGAAGCCUGUUCUUGCUUCUGGGAAUGGAACCCAACUCCUCACAAGCAGCCAAAGUGCUUUUAACCACUGAGCCAUCUCUCCAGACCCAUGAUUCCUUAAUGAAUAAAACUGAGAAGUUUGGAAAGAACUUCUUUCGACCACCAAAAGCAAUAUUCUCCGGCGUCUCCGGUUGCUUUUGAAACAGCUUAAAUGUCAGUUCUCUUUUGAUACCUCAAGUCACUGAGAAUUAUUUUGUCUUGAUUAAAGAGACUUAUCAUUUUAAUGAA